AAGGGUAAAUAAAAACGGACACCAAGGCAGACAGCAAGCAGCCGAUCCUUAUAGUGCACAUCAACGUCUUGAUUGAAACCAUAGUGGUCGCUGGUAAAAAAAAGGGAGAAGAAGAUGUCAAUCCAGUUACACAAUUACUUGAAAAUCUGAUGAACAAAUGUACAAAUUAUAAAUAUCACAUUCAGUGCAUGGCGGAGGACGGAAUAGAUUUGAGGUUUGGCAAUAAAAGCAUGGACACAACAAAAGUAAGGUGCAAAGUAACACCAUCACCAUGCAAAUUUGUAAUACACAUAUCACCAC
rnacentral:lncRNA from 1 species